CCUACGGGGGGCAGCAGUGGGGAAUAUUGCACAAUGGGGGAAACCCUGAUGCAGCGACGCCGCGUGAGCGAUGAAGUAUUUCGGUAUGUAAAGCUCUAUCAGCAGGGAAGAAAAUGCCGGUACCUGACUAACAAGCCCCGGCUAACUACGUGCCAGCAGCCGCGGUAAUACGUAGGGGGCAAGCGUUAGCCGGAUUUACUGGGUGUAAAGGGAGCGUAGACGGCUGUGCAAGCCAGAUGUGAAAGCCCGGGGCUCAACCCCGGGACUGCAUUUGGAACUGGGUGGCUGGAGUGUCGGAGAGGCAGGUGGAAUUCCUAGUGUAGGGGUGAAAUGCGUAGAUAUUAGGAGGAACACCAGUGGCGAAGGCGGCCUGCUGGACGAUGACUGACGUUGAGGCUCGAAAGCGUGGGGAGCAAACAGGAUUAGAUACCCCUGUAGUC
rnacentral:rRNA from 1 species